GACAGGGGUUGCAAACGUUGUUCGGAAUCACUGGGCAUAAAGCGCACGUAGGCGGUCUGUUAAGUCAGGUGUGAAAGCCCCCGGCUCAACCGGGGAACAGCAUCUGAUACUGGCAGACUCGAGGAUGGUAGGGGUGAGUGGAACUCCAGGUGGAGCGGUGAAAUGCGUAGAUAUCUGGAGGAACACCGGUGGCGAAAGCGGCUCACUGGACCAUAACUGACGCUGAGGUGCGAAAGCUAGGGUAGCAAACGGG
rnacentral:rRNA from 1 species